UAGUAUCGUUAAUCAAAUUGUUUUUAUUUUAGGUACACAGUUAAAGAUAUAUUUUACAUACUUAUCACUCCUGGGUCCUUUCACAUUUGUGUGUUACUGUAAUUUGAUGAAAGAAAAUAAGUUAAAUGUAGCAUGAUUGUGUUGUUUAGGAGGUUGAAUUUUAUUUCCAUUUUAUCCUUAACUAAAUAGAGCACACAUUCCAACACUCGCAAUCAAAAUGUAUUUAGAGCUACAACAGUUUUUGUAACCAAUUCUCUGAUAUUGAAAAAUUUAAAAACUUUGUGUUUUAUAUUUUCUGCAUUAUAAAUCUACCAAUCUCCAUAAUUGAUAGGUGGUGAGGAAGACAUGGGAAAACUGAUGGCUUUUUGAAGAACAAUAUUAAGAAUCAAGGUUACUGACAAUUUUUGACAUUCCAAGUUGAAAUAGUUUAUCACCUCAGUCCAAAGUGUAUAAAUAAAAUAACUUGCUUUACAUACAAAAAUCACUCUAGACUGAGUAGCAAUUUACACCUCAAUGCAAAUUAGAAACAAGUCAGACCACAGAACUCCAGCUCAAGAUGUUUAUUCAGAGAAUCAGAAGUUACACUUAGACCAACUUCUUAAUACACUCAACAACUUCAGAAACUGAUUAGGUCAAUGAAAUGCUUAAUAAACUCUGGAGUAGACUAAUUUAGCCUGAAGCCUUUGUUACAGACACUUCUACUCCAUGUUCCCUGCUGGGCAUUUAGCUUUUUCCUCCCAGGGUGUGCUUGUCAAACAGGUACUCCGCCAUCUUGUUGUUGUGGGCAUCCAUGCGGGUCAGGUUGGUGAUGUGGUCACCGAGCUUCUUGAUGGACUCCACCUGCUCGUUCAGGUAGUGGGA